AAGGGAAAAUAAUGAUAAUACCUUACUAUUAGUGUCGUCCAAAUCUGGUGCCAGAAGACUCGGUAAGACCAGAGACGCAAACGUUAAUCAUCAUAAUCAGGCGUAAAGGGUUUGUAGGCAGCUUUCACCCGCCCGGCUUGGAUAUUACUAUUACAAAUAAAGUAGUUUAAUUGAAAGCUAGAAUCAAAAAGAGGUUAUAGUGUAUAACGCCUAGAGGAGGGCUGAUAUCCAUAGAUCCUAGGCAGAAUACUCAGGGCGAAGGCCACUCUCCACUAAUGAUUGACGCUGAGAAACGAAGGUUAGGGUAGGAAAUAGGAUUAGAUACCCCGGUACUCCUUUCUGUAAACGAUGAAUGGUAGUCAUUAGUUUUUUUAAACUAGAGACGAAGUUAACACAAU
rnacentral:rRNA from 1 species